rnacentral:rRNA from 1 species
UGGGGAAUAUUGCACAAUGGGCGCAAGCCUGAUGCAGCCAUGCCGCGUGUAUGAAGAAGGCCUUCGGGUUGUAAAGUACUUUCAGUCGGGAGGAAGGUGUCAAGGUUAAUAACCUUGGCAAUUGACGUUACCGACAGAAGAAGCACCGGCUAAUUCCGUGCCAGCAGCCGCGGUAAUACGGAGGGUGCAAGCGUUAAUCGGAAUUACUGGGCGUAAAGCGCACGCAGGCGGUUGAUUGAGUCAGAUGUGAAAUCCCCGGGCUUAACCCGGGAAUUGCAUCUGGUACUGGACAGCUAGAAUCUUGUAGAGGGGGGUAGAAUUCCAUGUGUAGCGGUGAAAUGCGUAGAGAUGUGGGGGAAUACCGGUGGCGAAGGCGGCCCCCUGGACAAAGACUGACGCUCAGGUGCGAAAGCGUGGGGAGCAAACAGG